CCUACGGGAGGCAGCAGUGAGGAAUAUUGGUCAAUGGACGAGAGUCUGAACCAGCCAAGUAGCGUGAAGGAUGACUGCCCUAUGGGUUGUAAACUUCUUUUAUAUGGGAAUAAAAUGUUCCACGUGUGGGAUUUUGUAUGUACCAUAUGAAUAAGGAUCGGCUAACUCCGUGCCAGCAGCCGCGGUAAUACGGAGGAUCCGAGCGUUAUCCGGAUUUAUUGGGUUUAAAGGGAGCGUAGGUGGAUUGUUAAGUCAGUUGUGAAAGUUUGCGGCUCAACCGUAAAAUUGCAGUUGAAACUGGCAGUCUUGAGUACAGUAGAGGUGGGCGGAAUUCGUGGUGUAGCGGUGAAAUGCUUAGAUAUCACGAAGAACUCCGAUUGCGAAGGCAGCUCACUGGACUGCAACUGACGCUGAUGCACGAAAGCGUGGGGAGCAAACAGGAUUAGAUACCCUGGUAGUC
rnacentral:rRNA from 1 species